rnacentral:lncRNA from 1 species
UUCAAUUUUAAUAAUAAAUGUGAUUUUGACCAUCAACCAUGCUGAAUAAAGUAAGCUUAUGUAACAUGAUAGAUGAUGCCAUCUAUUUGUUCCAUCUUCGUUUUUAUUCCUUCCUCUCUUCCCAUUGCCGCUACAACACACAAAAAAAAAAAAAAAAAACUCUUUUUCUCCACCAUUGCUGCUGCCACUUUCACAACCACCCCAC